UAUAAGGCAACAGCCUUGCGGGUGUUGAGAGUCACUGGUUAACCUUAUCGUCAGACUUUCACCUGUGUCCUUCUCUCUCAAUGAGGUGGGCCAUCACCACCCUAUUUCUUUAGAAUGAUGCGGUCUCCUCCCAGAAAGAUGCAGUUCUGGAACCCACUGUGGAUCUGAUGUACCACAGAUCCUACUGCAAACAUUGUGAACCUAUCCAUUCACCAGCCCUGUGCAGACAGCCCAGUCUGCAGAGAAGUCUGCCUGGGAAGCCAAGGAAAGCCUGAAGCUUCAGGAACACCUUCCAAGGGGACUGAGGCAUGCAGCUACAGGUGUGGGCCAAACCUCCUCCUGCCAGUGCCCCCGUGGUUGGCUGAUGGUUCUUUGCCUCAUUCAAUUGCUCUGUUGUUACUACUUCAGAGAAACCAG